ensembl:lncRNA
AUUGACAGGAAGCGGUGUUUCUGAUAAUAGCUUAUUGCAUCUUUAGACAGGUUAACUGUGCUGAAUUUCUUCCUUACACUGGCAGUUUCCAAGCAAGCUCUCCCGAAUUGAUUGAUGUCUUUGUUUUGUUGAUGUAUAUACUGCCUUAGUUUAUAUUUCCCAGGACAGGCUGCAGGAUGCCUGGAAAAGUUUGCCAGUAUUAUGUUGAGUCUUAUAAAAUUACCAUUUUUCAGUCAAAAUGGUUGAAUAUCAUCAGUUUCAUAUGCUUGAACCCAUGACUCCCUGGGCCUUCUCCUCUGCAGGUAAGACUCCCCAAGUCCUUCAGCUCUUCCUCCAUGGCAGGCCUUCACUGUCCUCCAGGCUGGAAGCCACUCUCUGUGGAAUCUUGGACAAUUCUUUACUAUGAAAGGAUGCAUUACAUGGAUAUGAAUGCUAAACUAACUUCUGGAUUUCCUAGGACCAAAUCCAGAGGAAACACUGGAAAAGACUGUAUGUGCUUUCAUCUCCAUCUUUCCCCUUCUCCCCACAAAGAUGCCCACAUCCCACUCUGCAGAACGUACGAAUCACCACAGUGCAUGGCAAGAUGGGCUUUGCAGAUAUGAGUUAGGUAUGGACCUUAAAAUUGAGAGAUUACCCUGGGUUUUCUGGGUAUGGCUAACCUAAUCCAUGAGCCCUCACAAAGAACUGUCUCCAGCUAUCUGGGAAAAGAAGAGAUAGCAGAAGAAUUAAGGCAGACGGGAAAAAGAUUUGAAAUGUGAAGACUUCACCAUCAUUGCUGGCUUUGAACUUGGAGGGAAAAGGCCACGAACCAAAGAACACAGGUGGCAUUUGGAAGCUGAAACCCACCUCCAGCUGACAGCUAGCAAGGAAACAGGGACUCAAUCCUACAACCACAAGGAACUGACUUCUGCUAACCUGCAAGAGCUGGGGGAUGGACUCAUCCCCAGAGCCCCCAGAGAGAAACAGUGUCUUUCUGAUACCUGGAUUUUAGCUUGGAGGCCCAGAUGAGCCAUACUGCUCCCAGACUGCUGACUUAUAGGACUGUGAGUUGGGUGUUGUUUUAAGCAGCUCUAUUUGUAAAUAUUUGUCACAGCAUCAAAAGGAAACAAGUACAGCUUUGAUGUUUUUGCUAAGCCUCUGUUUCCAAAUAUCCUCAGUUUUUGUUUUGCAUAUGUGUCUGUGGAUCUCUGAACAGACUGUGAUUGUGACAGCUUUGAAGCCUCCAUUGCUCCAGUCAGCCACUGGCAGAAGCAAUGGGGUGAGACGCAGUGAUCAAGAGCACAGGCUUCAGAGACAGUGUCACCCCAGUGCCCAUAUCCAGGGCUCCAUUUGUGAGAAGGCCUGGUGACUAGAACUAGAACCACAAGAUGGGACUAUGGAUCUGAGUGAGCAGAACAUGCAGACAGGAAUAAGAGUUUGGCCUAGGGCCAUAGCACAAUAAAGGAAGUGCCUGCCAGUGCAGAAUCCAACCCCUUUAUCCCAUUCGCUGUUUUCUAUCGACAUAUUGGACAAGAUCUUCGUGUGCUGGGAGCAAAGUGCAACUUAGUGGCAAUAGUGUAGUGAAAGUCUUGUGGAUUCCAACACUUUCUCCAGGACUCAGAUAUACAAUGCUGAAGCCUCUGGCUCCUCUCUUAU